rnacentral:rRNA from 1 species
UACGAAGGGGGCGAGCGUUGUUCGGAUUUACUGGGCGUAAAGGGCGCGUAGGCGGCCCUCCUUGUCGCGUGUGAAAGCCCCGGGCUCAACCUGGGAAUUGCGCGCGAAACGGGCGGGCUCGAGUUCGGGAGAGGAGCGUGGAAUUCCCAGUGUAGAGGUGAAAUUCGUAGAUAUUGGGAAGAACACCGGUGGCGAAGGCGGCGCUCUGGACCGAGACUGACGCUGAGGCGCGAAAGCAUGGGGAGCAAACAGG